CUGCUGUUGGGACUGGGGACAGUUUAUUUUUUUUUUUCUUCAAAAACUUUAACCUAUUUUUUUCUAUUAUACCAGCUAGGAACUUAUAUAAUAUUUAUACAAGUUGAGAUAGUGGUUGUGCUUUUCUUCAUAAUGAUAUCACAAAGAAAGCAUUCAAUAUUCACUAUUGAAUGAGAUAAUAGUUGUUUAAUUUUGGUAGAUAUUCUUACACAAGCAAUAGCUUUUACUUAUGUUUUGCUGACAUUUGUUAUCCAUAGCUAGUUAUGGUAUUUGAUAAAAUAUUCAAUUAUUUUAUCAAAAUUAAAAAAUUUAUCCCACAAGAUGAUGAUGGUCUUUUUAUUCCAUUUUCUUGUUAAUGUGACUAGUUAUAGUGAUAUUCAAUAGAAAAUUUUGCCUUACAAAAUAAAUCACAUUAUUUGAUUUGUAUGUAACCAGAUCUUAUCUGCUAUUUUGUAUAGAAUGUUUAUAUCUAUUUUCAUUAUAGCGAUUGGCCUGUACUUGUCUUUCUUGUACUAUCCUUUGUAGAUGUUAGUAUCAAGCUUAACUUUACCUCAUACAAUGAAUAAAAAAGUGUACCCUCUUUCUCUGCAUUCUGAAAGAAUCUGUAAGACUCAUCAUUUCAUUCCUAAAUAUUUUGAAAAAUUACCAGUUAGCCCGUUUCUUCCUGGAAUUUUCUUUGUUGGAUAAUCUGAAUUUAAAACAGAAAUAUGUUAUUUGCCGAUAAAAACUAUUCAGAUAGUCUUAUGUCAGGAUUGAUAAAUUAUGUUUCAACAAGUGUUCCAUUCAUGUAGGCUUUAAAAAUAACUGACAUAAAGUUGCACAUAUAUAUUGUUGCUAUUCUAUUAAUUCUAUUAUUAGUUGCAGGAUCUAUAAUAAAACCCCCUUUUAAUUCAUAAGAUUAUUUUUUCUUUGUUAACGUUCAGCAA
rnacentral:lncRNA from 10 species